rnacentral:lncRNA from 1 species
CUCCCUAUAAGGCCGCGAAAGCAUUCGAGAAGAUUCCUUUUUCCUCUUAGAAUCUGUAUUAUAUGAUGAUUGAUUGUUUCCUAUACUCGGAGUAAGAUUAGUAAACCAUGUUCUAUGAAUAGGAGUCUUCUCAUUGUAUUUUCUUAACCUCAGUUUUUAGAUAGUAUGGAUAUCUUGGGUAAGGCUUAGGAAUUAUCCUUCGUAAUCUCACAUGAUAUGAAUUUUUCUUGGGUUUGAUUGAUGAUUACACAAAUUUUCUUUUGUGUGAGAUAUCUAUUUCUACUCUAUAUAAUAUACAUAAACAAAAUAAUUUUUAUUCAAUCGUACAAAAAGAUUGUUAUGUGUAAAUAUAAUGAUAAAAUUGUUAGGCAGAUCCAUAGAUUCGAUAAUCAUGAUAAGAGUGACAAAUUCUUUCUCCUUUAUAUGACAUUAAUUUUAUAUGCAGGCAAGUAUCAAAUCAAGAUAAGGCAGGUAACAUUAUCCCAUCAACUUUUUUCUCCAUUAUAAUUACGUAAAAUAAACUUUAUUCUUAAUAAAUUUGAUAAAGAUGACAUAAAUUUGAUAAUUUAUACUCAUUUGUAUUCUAUCAGCUGCUAUAUAUUCUACAAAAUCCUAUGCAUUAGAUCAUAUUAUUUUAAAUCACCAAAUAUAUGUUUAUUUCAGUCUACACUGAAAUCGGCAGAUCCAGUUUGCUUGAAUAUUUUUUCACUUCUAAUUUGAUCGCAUUUUCUCUUUAUUUCUAUGUAUGGUAUCAAUUUAUUUUUCUUUAAAUCUGGACCAUAUAUUCUAAAAAGUAGAUCCUCUUUAGACAGAGUUUCCUUUAGUCAUUUGUUCAGUUAAAAUCGCACUAAACCUGGAUGUGCAUAUGGUUAGGAUCCUGUCAUGUUUUGUUGGCUCGACAAACUUGACUUCUAAUAGAGGAAUUCUAAAAGUAUUUUGUUGAUAUAUUGAAACAGUUUUGAUGAACCUUAACUACCCUCCUGUAUUGUCACAUAAUAGUUCGAUGGUGCUAGAAGCAUGUCAUGUGCCUCGAGAUUGAAUUUUCGAGGAGUAACAAAAAUACGAGCAUGUAAAUAGCACAUUCAGAACCAAGGUGAGGGACAGGUUGCCGACCGUACCACUAUUUUUUAUUUUUUUGGAUUAUAUAGAAGGUUUUCAUAAUCUUUUGAUAUAUACGUGCUAUAUACAUAUUUAUCCCUUCAAUAUUAUUUGCUCCCUUGUGUGAAAAUCCUAGACUCCGACACUAAUGAGAACUUGUGAUUUAUCAUUGAUGCUACCAAAAAAUCGUACAUGAAAGAUCUCGAAUUGAACGAUUGAACUCCGAACUUGGACGAACUUGAAUGAAUAUGAACGAUCUUCGAAUACCUGAAACAAAGGCAAUGAGAUGUGUGCUCUUUGCCCUUUCGAUGCUUAAGUCAUAUAGAGAAUUUAGUGCAUAAAGCUAUGAACUGAAA